AUGUGUAGGAGCACCAGUGGUNAAGGUGGCUCUCUGGACUUGUAACUGACGCUGAAGGCGCGGAAGCUUGGNGAGCAAACUGGAUUAGAUACCCGUGUGUAGUCCACGCCGUUAAACGAUGAGUGGUAAGUGUCGGGGGGGUCCACCCCUUCGGUGCCCAAGUUAACACAUUAAGCACUCCGCCUGGGGAGUACGGUCGCAAGACUGAAAACUCAAAGGAAUUGACGGGGCACCCGCACAAGCAGUGGAGUAUGUGGUUUAAUUUCGAAGCAACGCGAAGAACCUUACCAGGUCUUAGACAUCCCUCUGACCGGUCUAGAGAUAGGCCUUUCCUUCGGGAACAGAGGAGACAGGUGGUGCAUGGUUGUCGUCAGCUCGUGUCGUGAGAUGUUGGGUUAAGUCCCGCAACGAGCGCAACCCUUGAGCUUAGUUGCCAGCACGUAAAGGUGGGCACUCUAGGCUGACUGCCGGUGACAAACCGGAGGAAGGCGGGGAUGACGUCAAAUCAUCAUGCCCCUUAUGACCUGGGCUACACACGUACUACAAUGGCCGGUACAACGGGUCGCGAAGCCGCGAGGCGGAGCCAAUCCCAGCAAAGCCGGUCUCAGUUCGGAUUGCAGGCUGCAACUCGCCUGCAUGAAGUCGGAAUUGCUAGUAAUCGCGGAUCAGCAUGCCGCGGUUGAAUACGUUCCCGGGGUCUUGUACACACCGCCCCGUCACACCACGAAAGGUUUACAACCCCAAACCCGGUGGGGGUAACCGCAAGGAGCCCACCCGUCGGAAGUGGGUGUAGAUGAUUGGGGUGAAACCCGUAACAAGUUACCCGUUCGNAAGGGCGGCUGGGAUCACCUCCUUAACCGNANUCCANCUCGUANC
rnacentral:rRNA from 1 species